rfam:Torrubiella hemipterigena genome assembly, contig: SCAF1
UUUUAUGAUGAUAAAAGGCCAGUGGCCUGAUCUUUAAACCCAGCUCUUCGAGCGCCUCUAUUUAAUAACGCUUUGAGGUGCAUGAGAUAAGAAUUUGGUUCUGAAAC